GCCUUCUUCACUUGGCAAAAAUGGCGACACACAGCGAGAGUGAUGCACCUCUUUGAGCGCCAUCCUCCUCUCCUCCCACUGCUCUCGCUCCUCCUCCAGCUGAGAAGAACGACAGAACCACCUGGGGCCCUCUGAUGGAGAUGUUGAAAGAUAACAUCACACAUACAUUAAUGGAGGGUGCAGAUGUGUUUUUCUCCUCCUCUUUUUCGUCAUCUUCUUCCUCCUCCUCGUCCUCCUCUGAGCUGCUAUCUUGUAAACGGGGAUCUUGUUGCCAUGGCACCUUUGCAGCCCGGAUGCUCUCCACCUUAUACUCAGCUGGCACAUACAUCAGACAUACAAAGGAGAAGCUGAAUCCAGAAGGCUCCUCCCUUCCUGCGCUGGCAUCACUGAAUAGAGAUGUCAGAGGUCGCCGGUCACGUCGUAGUAGAUCUCCUUGGAAACUUCAGGAAGCUUCUGAGCCUCUUCCUUCUUCUUUCUACGGGCUGACUUGCUGUGAAGAGCACAGAGGAAACAAAACACAGUCUAAGCUAUCACUCUUUAAACAGUAUAAUGACUAAUGACGGGGUUGUAUAAUUUAUUAUAUUUAUAUAUUAUAGUAAUUAUUAUAAUUUAAGGUAAAUAUACUUGUUUUGUAGUGUAUUUCUCAGCAUACUUAAAUGUAGCAAAUUAUAUAUCUGAACAGGGCGAGUUUUCCUCACUAUUGCUAGCUAAGCAGUAGCGUAAUAGCGGCCUCUGUUGGCGUUAGUGUGAAUUACAGUACACUGCAAAACAACUGCAAUUUGAGAACAUCCAUCAAAGUUGGGGUUGCUCGAUUCUGCGUAAUAGCGGCCUCUGUUGGCGUUAGUGUGAAUUACAAUACACUGCAAAACAACUGCAAUUUGAGAACAUAAAAACAAUGCAAAAAUUGUGAAUGAGAUUACAAGUCACAUCUAUACAUUCUAUACAAGCUAUACAUUCAAUUAGAGCUUAAGUUUGUGGCUAAACUUUGCCUCAUCACUAUUAUAGUGGAACCUUUGUUAGCAUCUG